GAGUAGACGUGCAAAGGACUGCGCUCCAAAACUUAAUUAUAUAUGUGUAGGUAGAGUGAGUUUUGGAGCGCAGUCCUUUGCACGUCGACUC
rnacentral:miRNA from 1 species